rnacentral:misc_RNA from 1 species
GAUGAAGAACGCAGCGAAAUGCGAUACGUAAUGUGAAUUGCAGAAUUCAGUGAAUCAUCGAGUCUUUGAACGCACAUUGCGCCCCCCGGUAUUCCGGGGGGCAUGCCUGUCCGAGCGUCAUUGCUGCCCUCAAGCACGGCUUGUGUGUUGGGCCUCCGUCCUCCUCCCGGGGGACGGGCCCGAAAGGCAGCGGCGGCACCGCGUCCGGUCCUCGAGCGUAUGGGGCUUCGUCACCCGCUCUUGUAGGCCCGGCCGGCGCUUGCCGACACAUCAAUCUUUUUUCCAGGUUGACCUCGGAUCAGGUAGGGAUACCCGCUGAACUUAAGCAUAUCAAUAAGCGGAGGA